rnacentral:lncRNA from 1 species
AUCUGAUAGAUAUGGUCAAUAUCUACGGAAUGGCGUUUUUAGUUUUCUUUUAUCUUCAAAAUUGUAAAUUUGGGAAGUUUUCGCUCUUUGCGGGGGCGAAAGAUGGCGUGGCUCAUUUUUGAAAUACACUUGUAACAGUGUGAGGAUACAGAAGUAUGGAUGCAAAAUUUGGUGGCUCUAGCUUUUAUGGUCUCUGAGAUACAGGCGCUCAACAAGACGGACGGACAGACAGACAUGGCUCAAUCGACUCUGG